GGUCAAAUAAUAUUCAAAUGACGACGUUUAUAUUCGUAAUGAAUGUAUCUAUUGUUGGAAUUAUAUGUACUGCUCUGACUGACCUGCCAGCUUGUUAGCAUACAUGGUAAUUUAGCAUAGAAGUUAGCGAGCUGGCUAAUAACACCGUAAUCACAACUGAACUGUAAAUGUGGAUGUGUGAUGAGUAACUGUGAUUAAUAACGCCGUACAUCAUUGUUGGUUUCUACAAGGGACUGAUGAAGACACUGAGCGACUCAUUAAAUGGAGGGCUAAGAAUGAGGACCUCUUUACUGGCAAACGUAUAACGUUGUAAACGUAUAAAUAACGUUGUGUUAUUAAGUGUUGUAAUUUUCAUAUGCAUGGCUCAUUAUAAGUUAAUGUUCUGCUCUCCUGAAAUGUAUUAUUUUACAUAUUGCUGAUAACCAGUUAGUUUUGUUGUUAAGGGAUCAUUUCAAUGACCAUAAAGGUGGGAAAUUAGCACCAGUCACCAGCCAAAUGCCGGUAAAAUAUGAAAGUGGAUGGUGGAUUUCAGACACAAAAUAAUUACUUACUCUUUAGUGACAGGUGAAUUUGAACAAUUAUCUGUCAGUGGCUGGUAGAUGUUCACAUUUUUAAAAAGUUCACACCCUAUCCCCUGUGAAAAGGUUAUGGUAACUUGACCAAUGUUAUGCUUGUACAGGAUGUAUGUUAAGGAGCACAGGUUGGAGGUGAAGGUAGAGGCUGGGUGGGCCAAAAAAGUGGGACAAUCUAAAGCAAAACUACAAAGAACUAAAGGCACCACGCACAGAAGUGGUUUGGUAUCAUGGAUGAGGUGAUGGGGCAAAGACCAUCCAUAACCCCACCAACCCUCAUCUCCUCUGCCAUGGAACCAACCCCUGCAGCAGUGGUCUCUCCAGAGCAGGAAGUUGCACUCCAGCUAAGAGAAGACGUGAGUCGGAGUGGCUCAUGUUCCAGGAUUGGGAGAAAGGGUGGAGAAGAAAAAGAGAGAGGCACUGGAGAGAGAAAGGAGAGAAGGAGAGAGAAGGCACAAUGAGAGGAGGGAGCAAGAGGGCAUGGACAGCAGAGCUAGGGAGGAAUGGCGAGGAGGAGAGGGAGAAGGAGCGUAUAGCCAGGGAGGAAAGAUUAAUGGUGAUGUUAGAGUCAUUUUUGCAAAAAAGAAAUAAAAGACAAAAGAUUUGCA